GGCUGGUGUGAAGGUUGUGAGUUACCUCAGUUGAUUGUUCACAGUCAGUUACAGAUCAAACUCCUACUCUUUCACCCCUUCUCACUAUUGUAGUUGGCUUGUCUUAA
ensembl:Y_RNA Y_RNA Y RNA